GAGUGGCGAACUGGUGAGUAACACGUGGGAAACCUGCCCAGAAGCGGGGGAUAACACCUGGAAACAGAUGCUAAUACCGCAUAACAACUUGGACCGCAUGGUCCGAGUUUGAAAGAUGGCUUCGGCUAUCACUUUUGGAUGGUCCCGCGGCGUAUUAGCUAGAUGGUGGGGUAACGGCUCACCAUGGCAAUGAUACGUAGCCGACCUGAGAGGGUAAUCGGCCACAUUGGGACUGAGACACGGCCCAAACUCCUACGGGAGGCAGCAGUAGGGAAUCUUCCACAAUGGACGAAAGUCUGAUGGAGCAACGCCGCGUGAGUGAAGAAGGGUUUCGGCUCGUAAAACUCUGUUGUUAAAGAAGAACAUAUCUGAGAGUAACUGUUCAGGUAUUGACGGUAUUUAACCAGAAAGCCACGGCUAACUACGUGCCAGCAGCCGCGGUAAUACGUAGGUGGCAAGCGUUGUCCGGAUUUAUUGGGCGUAAAGCGAGCGCAGGCGGUUUUUUAAGUCUGAUGUGAAAGCCUUCGGCUCAACCGAAGAAGUGCAUCGGAAACUGGAAACUGAGGUGCAGAAGAGGACAGUGGACUCCCAUGUGUAGCGGUGAAAUGCGUAGAUAUAUGGAAGAACACCAGUGGCGAAGGCGGCUGUCUGGUCUGUAACUGACGCUGAGGCUCGAAAGUAUGGGUAGCAAACAGGAUUAGAUACCCUGGUAGUCCAUACCGUAAACGAUGAAUGCUAAGUGUUGGAGGGUUUCCGCCCUUCAGUGCUGCAGCUAACGCAUUAAGCAUUCCGCCUGGGGAGUACGGCCGCAAGGCUGAAACUCAAAGGAAUUGACGGGGGCCCGCACAAGCGGUGGAGCAUGUGGUUUAAUUCGAAGCUACGCGAAGAACCUUACCAGGUCUUGACAUACUAUGCAAAUCUAAGAGAUUAGACGUUCCCUUCGGGGACAUGGAUACAGGUGGUGCAUGGUUGUCGUCAGCUCGUGUCGUGAGAUGUUGGGUUAAGUCCCGCAACGAGCGCAACCCUUAUUAUCAGUUGCCAGCAUUAAGUUGGGCACUCUGGUGAGACUGCCGGUGACAAACCGGAGGAAGGUGGGGAUGACGUCAAAUCAUCAUGCCCCUUAUGACCUGGGCUACACACGUGCUACAAUGGAUGGUACAACGAGUUGCGAACUCGCGAGAGUAAGCUAAUCUCUUAAAGCCAUUCUCAGUUCGGAUUGUAGGCUGCAACUCGCCUACAUGAAGUCGGAAUCGCUAGUAAUCGCGGAUCAGCAUGCCGCGGUGAAUACGUUCCCGGGCCUUGUACACACCGCCCGUCACACCAUGAGAGUUUGUAACACCCAAAGUCGGUG
rnacentral:rRNA from 1 species